UGGGGAAUUUUGGACAAUGGGGGAAACCCUGAUCAAGCCAUCCCGCGUGUGCGAUGAAGGCCUUCGGGUUGUAAAGCACGUUUGGCAGGAAAGAAACGUCAUGGGUUAAUACCCCGUGAAACUGACGGUACCUGCAGAAUAAGCACCGGCUAACUACGUGCCAGCAGCCGCGGUAAUACGUAGGGUGCAAGCGUUAAUCGGAAUUACUGGGCGUAAAGCGUGCGCAGGCGGUUCGGAAAGAAAGAUGUGAAAUCCCAGAGCUCAACUUUGGAACUGCAUUUUUAACUACCGGGCUAGAGUGUGUCAGAGGGAGGUGGAAUUCCGCGUGUAGCAGUGAGAUGCGUAGAUAUGCGGAGGAACACCGAUGGCGAAGGCAGCCUCCUGGGAUAACACUGACGCUCAUGCACGAAAGCGUGGGGAGCAAACAGG
rnacentral:rRNA from 1 species